GAUCGUUUCCUGGGAUCCGCAACCAUGGCCAAAAUACAAAUUCCUUUCGAUAGGGAAAGCAUAAGACAGAUUCUCAUCCGUACAGUAAGUGUUUCCAAGUGCAGAAAAGGUUCUUUAAGAUACUGGCUUUCAGCAGGACCUGGUGAUUUUCAACUAUCUUCAUCAGGCUGUCAUCAAGCAACUCUUUAUGCCAUUGUAAUUAAAGAUCAAUCACCUCCUGAUCACAACGGCAUUAAAGUUG
rnacentral:misc_RNA from 1 species